UUUUCCUCUAUUUGCCAGCAACCGAUACCGCAUGAGAGCGGCACAGCCUACUGGAUUUGGCGCGAGAUUCGUAACAUCUUUGAACGACUUUGACUUCUCUAAAGGUUCUAGGCAACGCCAGCCGUCGGCAACCAAGACCACCACUACGACGAUGAUGAUGGUGGUGAUGACGAUGAUGCUUGGAAGAAGAGUGCAUUUUAAAUAAUGUAUUCUUCAUUAUCAUAUGUUUCGAAGCUUUUCCGUCUCGGUUUUGGUGGCGCUUCUAGUUGACUGUGGAUGCUUUCGGACCCGUGGUUUGUCAGCUCAGAUUGGGGUAGCACAAUGCAGGGAGACAGCUAUUGUGACGAUGAAUAUUUCAUCGUUCAGCCAAACGCCCGCGAACAUACACAAAUACUUAUACAGCGAUGUGCUUACGGUUACCAUAUCCACAUAAAUCACAUAUGAACAUCUACUUUCUGUGAAUACUUCUUUCGCUCCAGCUGUAGUCAAACCGUACCGCGCAGCUGGCAAAAUUUCAUGGAAAUGAAUCACGAAUGGCGCAAUACACGUAUGUUUUUUGUUGUACUUGUAUCGUUUAUCUUUAGCUUUGAUGGGUACUCUAGCGGCAAGUCACUUCUGCGUACCAUUGAUUCAUGUUUAUGAAGCAGGUCAUGAAUGCUAACACCCAUCUACUUACAUCACGCUGUAUUUUGAGGUAGGGUUUUGCUCAUAUUCUACUCUAAACAUUCUUCGCCAAAUCGAUGGAGAGCCGUAAGAUGUGCGAUUGUACCUAUAGAGGUAAGAGGUAGGGACUUGCAAAAUGUAGCAUAAUUAAAACUAUCCAAAUAAUACACAAAAUUCAAUUUUGAGAUUUUAAUUGAUAUGCCAUCGGACUAAAACGAGCUUCACAAAAAAAGAAGGAAAUAAGAAAAAAGUAAAAAAAAACAUUGACAGAAUCCGCUGGACCUACAUUCUUUUGCCACGUUGAUUACUAGUUAACAAUAAAUUAUACACAUAGAGGGAGAGAAUCUUAGAGCUACUAAGAGUUCCGAAAAUUAUAAAAUCUAAAUAAAUCAAAUAUAGUAUAAUAUGCUACUCAAGUAUACAAAUACAGAACUUUCACACCAUAAUUUAAAAUAAAACUAGACAAAAGCAAAUCCCUUUUUCACUUCCCUUUUCAUUCUGGUUACAUUGAUGAUGAACUCACAUUUUUUGCACACACUUAUUCGGUUACUGAGAACCUACUCUAGUGUAAAAUUGAACUCUUUCGUAGCCGUAGCCCACUGAAUACUGUUGGGUGCCAGUUUAAGACCGACCAGGGUAGCCUUAUUGCGAUAUCCCAAGACUCUCUCUUUCUAUCGAGCUCAAAGAAAGGAUUGAAAAGUGCCAGUUUUCUAUCUUCACUCAGAAAAUUGAUGGCAUCUUACGGUCAGAAGCUAACGAAAUCGAUCCCCAUUGCCGCUGUACGGUAUUGAGCUGCAAGGCUAGCCUAGCGCUGACUAGUACGCCCUUCCUUUGAUAAAAUGUGAUUUUCUCCGUGCAAAUAUUUGCUUCUUCGGAAGAAAUUGACAUUUUCUAUUCACUCAUCUCACUACCAGCGAUGCAUGUGAACUCCUUCCUCCUCGAACGCUGAAUGGUGAUGGGAACGGAUCUAGGACGCAGACAGCUACAUCCGGGUUCGUAUGCGUUGCGGUAGCCGCACGAUCAUAAAAAUGAUGCUUUCUCGAUGAAACUGCUGCUUCGCCUUCCCAGUAUACAAUAUCUAUGUAAACUUGUCGGUUCGUUUGCUGACCCACUUCCUGCUUUGUGGUUGUGGCCAGAUUUUCCAUCUUCAUAAACUGCAUUUUCAAAGUGCGGAAGGGUCUAUGAAACCAUCCCAAAAAAUAAAACCUCGCAUGAGAUCAAGCUAAUCGAUGAGUUCAAACCUAGGGAGAUAUUUUGUAUACCAUUCUUCCACACAUAACUAAAACCUCUUUUCAUUUGCAAAAAAGUUAACCCUUUCUGAAUAUCUUCCUUUUUUGCAACCUUCUUCGUAAACAGUGUUAAAAAAACUCAGUGUCGGAUGUUUUGGAACUUACUAGCAAGCGAUGUACCGCUGGCAACAAAAGCUCACAGCAUGCCCAACAGCACGCUUGUUUGAAGAGCACUCAGACCGUUGGCAGUAAGUGGUUUACCCUAUGGUUUGUCUUACAAUCCGCAAUGAGCGGAAGGUAUACAAAAGUUUUUCCAGGCGCUUGUGUUUCGGCUAUUUCGUGAAUGUUCCAACCGGGCUUCAUCAAGACGUCCGGUCGUAAUAAACUUUCUGGGCAGUACAUGGAACAAAGGUGUUGAAUGCACAGCAGCGUCUGAAACGUUCUGUUGACUUUGUGCUCUACAAUGUGCCCGGUCGUGAAUUAAAUACUGUGCGUGUAGGUACAUCUCAACGAAAGCUACUGUAAAAACAUAUUUGCUUGCGUGUAGAAAAUGUGGAAAAGUUAAAGUUUGUGUGCUUGGGUUCAUAACAGAUCGUCGUCCUCUAAAGCAUAUUUUUUUUUGUCAGAGUGUGUCGGUUCGUUAGAGUUAGAGUGUAGCGUAAAUGUAAAAAUGAAAUUCUGGUGUUAGAUUUAGAUUAAUCUAUAUCAGGUUAACAAAUCAAUGUCAGUACAUCAAACUGAUAGGCAAUUGCAUUCCCAAUAGAUUUUCUCUUCUUCUAUUUGGCGUAACGUCCUAUGCGGACAUGCCGGCCUAUGCAGACUUUCGAGACUUAAUUCAUUACCACACAGCCGGAUAGUCAAUCCUUGUUACGGGGGGACGGUCCAUUCUAGGCUUGAACCCAUGACGUUCAAGUUAUUGAGUCCAUCCAUUCUAGGCUUGAACCCAUGACGUUCAAGUUAUUGAGUCGUUGAGUCGUUCAAGUUGACGACUGUACCACGGGACCGCCCCUCCCAAUAGAUAACGUUUGCAUUAAAACAAAUGGACAAAUAUUAUCGAAAUUCCGAAUAGGCGAUGGGUUUAUCUUCACCCGCACUUUACAUUUGUACUUUCAAUAAUUGCACUUUCAAUUAUAGUAUCUCUUGAGCCAGCACAUAUAAUUUGACACCUCUAUCAGUCGAAAUUUAACCGUGAGGACAAACAAACUGAGGCGGUUUUCUUUAGAAGCGUUCGCGAUUAAAGAACGGUACACCGUACAGUCUAAAACGGACACCGUGCGGCAAUUUGUGGACUUUGUAUAAACCUGCGGCAUCUACAACAUGUUGGCACUAUUAGACAACAAUAAUAGCAUCUAAAGAAAGCCCCGUUCCGAAUGGCUUACGACCUAGACCAACAAGAAGCUUCAAAAGAUGCUGAAAAUGAAGCCCAAGGGAAAAGUGGCUACUUCGUUGUGAUCACUUGGCCGGGAGGUCGAUGCAACCGAUCGAUCAGUAAAUUAGUCCUGGAAAACGCGAACAAACAUAUCAGGAAUCAGAAAUCGAGUCCACAGGCUUCGCAGCAGCAUGAAAUGAGACUAAAACUCAAUUAAACUAUUUCAUGCAUAUUUUGGUUGGAUUUCGAUAUGACACCCUAGUACGCGAACCGGUUGAACAUCCCCCAGCUGCAUUCCAUCGAAAUUUUCUGGACCAACAUGAUGAAAAAGUCUACUCUAACAAUUUUGUCGCGAAAACGGAGGAGGAAUUGAUAAAAAUAGAAGGUAGAUCUUAAACACCUCUACACGCAUGUAUUCGUUACACUAUGGCGAAAACUCUUGAUAACUGACAAAAAGCAGAUUGCAAGGUCGUAAAAAUAUUUUUAUAAGUAAGUUGUAAUAAUUACCUUUCAAAUGACGUUCAUGUAAAUAAAUUUACCGCUCUUUUUUCUACAACCAGCCGAAAAAAGACAAUAUUUUGAAUGCAAACGCUAUGUAUACUAUUCAAUCAGAAGAUGAUUUAAAGUAGAUUUAAAGGAAUAUUAAAUUGUAAGUCGAGUAGAUAAUUGCCGUAGCCUCCACAGGACUCCCGGUGCCAUGCUGUAAAGGCCAGUAAAUCCGAUAGAGGAAUUGGUUCGUCGGCUUUCCCUCCGAUCCACUACUAGGAAAGUCUACGUUAGGCGCGCGAUUCUCAAUACCUAUGCAGUCUCAUUCAUAUUAUUAUUAGACAAUUAAAAAGAAAACAAAAAACAUCAUUAUCAUCAUCAGAUGCCGGAGAAACUAUUACGCUAAACACAAACAAACUAACAGAGUCAACCAUACAAAAAUCUACAUAUAUUGGAAUUGAAAGAAAUGAACUAUUUACAAAUGACAACAAAUGGAAUUUAAACAAAUGAGUCGAACAUGACCUUCGAAAACCAGCGAUUGUACUCUGAUUGUCAACUCCAGUGAGAAGCGCAUUAAAUGUUCUUAUGCCUUUGAAGAAUAGGGAAAUUCUGGCUUGAGCAGACGAAUAGUUGGUUCAUUCGUAACUUUUUAUGUAACAAUUAUCAUUAAUCUCCCAUUUUAGCCAUAUCGUGAAAAUAUAAAAGGCCACUGAAAGUCAAGUCCGUUAUAAAUAAAGACAAAGGAUCGACAAUAGUUAUUACGCCUAAUAAGAAGAAAAAAUACUCUAUAUUUAAGCUAAAUACUACUCUUUACAUUGAAAUUAUUAAUGUUUACAUUGCUGGUUUAUCUUUUAGUCAAUUAUACUAGUAGUGGUGAAUCUCUGCCAAAUAUUGAAUGUAAGUUCAAAGCUUUUUUGUGAAAAAUGAAUGAAUCACAGUUAUGAAUUUAAAAAAAUAUAUAUAUAUCAAAAAUGCAGCCAGCUAAAUACAUAAUCUGACACGUUUGUGUCUAAAGUUUACAUUGCUUAAUGCCCUUUCGCAUGCAUUUGGCGUUAAUCCGUAAUUACCUGUAACGGUGUUAACAUGUCGUCUUACGCUCGAAAAAGCACUCCCCCAGAUGCACCAUUACUAGCUAGGUGCAUCCAACGUCAUGGAUACGACGCCGAACAGUGUCCCAACAGUGCCAUUUCUUACCAUCAUGCGGGUCGGGUCUCAAAGGACGCACGAAAGUUGCCCGAUUUUCCAACAGUUUCUGAGCUGCCAGCCACGCUGGGACACUCUUUCAAGUUGAACCAUUUAGCAACAACGUGAAAAGCUUGCCAGACGAUGAGUAUGAGCGAGAGAGAUAGAAAGAGAGGGUGAGUGAGUGAGAGAUCACAAAAAAUGGCCGUGUCCGUGUAUGGAGAUUUAUUGUGUCGAUAGCAGAUCCACAGCGACGGUCCGGAAGCACCAACCUGGGACCUUUCGGGGAUGCAGCUGUAGCGCUCUCGUCCGGCAUAGCUUAAUUACCAGUCACCGUUCUUUGGCCGUUCUUUGGUGAGCUUAAUACGGUUGCCAUAAAUCUUCCGGCAUGUCGAAUGCGCUUUGAAUAAAUGUCUCCUUUGAACCGUGAACGAAUGUCAAACUACAAACAGCUUUUGCGAGGGCCUGGGAAAAGCGGGAUCUAUCUUACCCCGCAUUGAGCCGUCAUCGUAUUCUGUGUUUCGUUUAUCACUUGGUCAGCCACCGGGAGGUGUGACGCUGUUUCGUGUUUGUGGCGCAGGUUAUCUCUCCUUUGCGUGUCGUUUUCUCAGAUGCGAAGCAAAGGCCGACGGUACGGCCGACCGUACGAUUUACGAUCAGCUCGAGUGCACCGGCCCGAGCGAUUGUCGCGUUUCCACAAGCCGGGAAGUGCCCGGUGGAAAAACCACUUCACAAAUCCGUUGUGACAUCACUAUCUCUUCGUUCAAUCUCAAAACCGCAAUAAAAUGGAGGCGAAUCGAAAACAGCCGGCCGCUGCAAAGCCCCCCUUCCCCUCCCCCCAUUCCCAUGUACGAUUGAUGGCAUUUGCUUUCCAUACAAAGCAUGAAUUACGGGAUUUGCCAGGCGGUGGACGAUUGAUAUUAAACACCAAAUAAAACACUUUAAUAUCAAUUUUCUUGAUCCCCUUAGGGCUGGAACCGAUAAGAUUGGCUACUCGUGGUCGUGAGGACGUGCAACAAGCUGUUAAUGCUGGGACACGGACUGCUGCGAUAGGGGUUUUGUUGCUAAAAGAUUAACGAAAGAGCUUAAGCUGCAACCUAAUCUGGAUAAACAAAAGCACCCUACCUGACCAUGCAGCCAAGCAGUAACCUUCACCAAUGCUCCAUCGUUCCAAUUUAGUUGUUUCACUCAUUCGCAAACCCAGACCCAGACGCAAUACCAUUUUACCAUGGUUUCGCCCCGCUCGUCGAUGCCGAAGCUUUUUUCGAGCACAAUCAACAUCAUCAUAUGCGCUUUCGUAAAUAAUGCAUAGUGACGGCUCUUUGUUUGGGUUAGUGGUUCAGCAGAUCGGUAGAAGAGUGACGCUGGACUUCGGUUUUGCUUUUGCAGGAUGGGAAGGCUUGUUUGGGUUUAUCUUGUGCUGCUGCAGAUAGAUACAGCUGACUAGCUGCUUCGAAGCCAAACUUAUUUGCGAAAGCAAUAACACGGUGCAAAGAUGAUGAGAUGCAUGAGAUUCAUAAGUUAGUGGAAAAUGCAUCGACGGUUCAUAUUUAUAAUGCCAACCAAUUAUGCUGCAUUGGGUGAAGUUGUAAACAAACUAUCAGGAAAACCCAUGUUAUUGGGUAAUAUUGUAAAAUGACAAAAUACUGACUGGAAUUAAUGAUUUGAAAAAUGAUAACCAACAAUAUAAAUGUUUACUCGUUUUACCAUGUUCGAAAUAUAAGAUCAUAAAUGCUACCAAGAAGUUAGAAGAAGUAAAAAAAUAAAAACAUGCAAAUGCAAAUGCAAAUGCAAAUGCAAAUGCAAAUGCAAUGCAAUGUUUUAAUGCAAAUCUAUUUUUGAUUUUAGUGCCGUAAGAACGUGUUUUCAUUUUUUUUUGUAUUUUUUUUUUCGUUUCAUAUUUCGUUAAUUAGAUUCAUCCUAUUAAACACAUCACCAGACAUUGUACCAUAAGAAUAGAGAGAGUAUCAAUAGUUGUGAGAGAGUUGCUAAGAAUAAUGCCCGCUAAUCACGGCGAUGUGACGAGCAUUACAUUUCCAUAACCAAAAGUAUGCGACUUCAAUAAAAAAACGUGUAAUGUUAUUAAAAGGGAAAGGACUUCUUCUACAAUGAGUAAGAACGAAUAUGCUCCAUUGGCAACAUCAGGCGUUGUAGUUCAUAAAUUGUAAAAUAAACCUUUAAUUGUGUAGCAUUUAA